rnacentral:pre_miRNA from 1 species
UAAGUCAUGAAAAGGUUUUUUUCAGUGUGCAUAAUCUGGAAAACCUUAUCAUGGCUAAU